rnacentral:sRNA from 1 species
AUUAAGCAAGCGCUCCGAAGACAGCAGGUGGCCAAGGCCGUAAAUCCUGCCGAGGACAAUAACAGUAUUCUGAUUGUUUUGUGCCUUUGCGUCUUCAUGAUGCAGAGGUUUUCUUUUUG